rnacentral:rRNA from 1 species
AUUGAACGCUGGCGGCAGGCCUAACACAUGCAAGUCGAGCGGAUGAAGGGAGCUUGCUCCUGGAUUCAGCGGCGGACGGGUGAGUAAUGCCUAGGAAUCUGCCUGGUAGUGGGGGAUAACGUCCGGAAACGGGCGCUAAUACCGCAUACGUCCUGAGGGAGAAAGUGGGGGAUCUUCGGACCUCACGCUAUCAGAUGAGCCUAGGUCGGAUUAGCUAGUUGGUGGGGUAAAGGCCUACCAAGGCGACGAUCCGUAACUGGUCGGAGAGGAUGAUCAGUCACACUGGAACUAGAACCGGUUCCGACUUCUUACGGAGGCAGCAGUGGGGAAUAUUGGACAAUGGGCGAAAGCCUGAUCCAGCCAUGCCGCGUGUGUGAAGAAGGUCUUCGGAUUGUAAAGCACUUUAAGUUGGGAGGAAGGGCAGUAAGUUAAUACCUUGCUGUUUUGACGUUACCAACAGAAUAAGCACCGGCUAACUUCGUG